UGGAGCUGUAACACUUUAAGUUGGCUCUCCCCUAGUUGAGGUCUAGACAAAACAAUCUUUUAUCUGAUCUACCCUGUUUUUGUUUUCCUACACUUUUUGUUUUGCUUCGUACCUUUUUUAAGUUUGGUGUGUUUAAAAAAUUAAAAAAUACAUAUUUUGUUUGCCUCUUCUUGGGCAAAUUUCCUGGGUGCUCAUGGUCGGGGUCUUUUAGGUGCCAGUUGUUGCUAGUCAUCUUUCAGUGGACACUCGAGUCAUUUAGAACCACCCAUAAAACCCACACAUUUAAUUUUGGUUCUUGUCAGUGACUCUUUGUUAGUUCCCCUUUCUGUUUGCGUGACUAUUAUUUUUUUCUUGCUGGGGAACGUACCAAAAUGGAGGCUCAUUCGGGAUCGUGUUUACCAAAGGUCUCAGACCAAGCUGUCUGCAUUAUACUGGAUAAGGUGGAUGUCACAUUGAGUCAUAACCAGUCAGUCCAAGCCAGACAGACGGACGGAUGGAGGAGCAGAGAGUAGACCCAGCGCCAAGAGACAGGCAUGAGGCCUCUCCGUCUAUCUACAGGACAAAGACAGUAGACAUGAGGCCUCUCCAUCUAUCUACAGGACAAAGACAGUAGACAUGAGGCCUCUCCGUCUAUCUACAGGACAAAGACAGGAGACAUGAGGCCUCUCCGUCUAUCUACAGGACAAAGACAGUAGACAUGAGGCCUCUCCAUCUAUCUAGGGUGGUAUCAUUAUGACAGACAGGGCUCAUUGUACUCAUUCCCUAUGUAGUGGUCAACAGUCGUGCCAUGAUAGAGAAUAGGGUGUAAUGUUUGAUCAGUCAUUGUGUUUGGUGACUUCACUGCUGUCAGCGUAGGUACUAUAAGGAUGUAGAUUUAUUACUGUGCCAUCACAAAUGACAUUUGAUUUGAAACUGUCAGACUGGGUAGCUGUCUGUGUAAACUUUGGUGGAGUCGUUAACACCACAGGGCCGUUAGCUUUCUGGCUGCUCGUAGAUAUCUAUUAGCCCGAAUGUAUGUUUCUUACUUGUCAUUACUUAUUGAGAUCAGUUUAUUUUACUUUGAUGUGAGCAAAGCUGGUAAUUGCGUGUACCUCAGUCAUCAUGUUUCCUAGAUUAAAUUUUAAUACUUGGAUAAAUUAUGCAUUGCUCAUUUAUAAUGUAGGAACUGAAUACUAGUGUACAUAUAUUUAGUAUAUAUAUGUUUGUUCUGCAA
ensembl:lncRNA